rnacentral:snoRNA from 1 species
CCUUCAUGAUGACAACCGCACGCGUCUUACGCCUCGCGUUAAUACCAGAACCUGAAAAGGUGAACCCACUGGUGUUACCUUGGCAAUAAGGGGAAGACCCGUUGGGGUUACCAACAGUCUGAAUGGA